rnacentral:rRNA from 1 species
GGGGAAUCUUGCGCAAUGGGCGAAAGCCUGACGCAGCAACGCCGCGUGCGGGAUGAAGGCCUUCGGGUUGUAAACCGCUUUCAGCAGGGAAGAAAUUGACGGUACCUGCAGAAGAAGCCCCGGCCAACUACGUGCCAGCAGCCGCGGUAACACGUAGGGGGCGAGCGUUGUCCGGAUUUAUUGGGCGUAAAGAGCUCGUAGGCGGUUCGCUAAGUCGGGUGUGAAACCUCCAGGCUCAACCUGGAGACGCCACCUGAUACUGGUGUGACUAGAGUCCGGUAGGGGAGUGUGGAACUCCUGGUGUAGCGGUGAAAUGCGCAGAUAUCAGGAAGAACACCAGCGGCGAAGGCGGCACUCUGGGCCGGUACUGACGCUGAGGAGCGAAAGCGUGGGUAGCAAAC